CCGUCGACUUUAGAAAUCGUGAGGGUUCAAGUCCCUCUAUCCCCCA
rnacentral:tRNA from 1 species